CGCGGGGUAGAGCAGUACGGUAGCUCGUCGGGCUCAUAACCCGGAGGUCGUCGGUUCGAAUCCGACCCCCGCAACCA
rnacentral:tRNA from 1 species